AAACCAUGGUGAGGGCAGUGUAUAAACAAGUCAUUGUACCGAUCCCAACAUUCAUAGAAUGGUUCACCUUCAUUUUUGAGCAAAGUUAUAGAUCUCCCUCUUCAAAGCAU